UACGUAGGCAGCGAGCGUUGUUCGGAGUUACUGGGCGUAAAGGGUGUGUAGGCGGUUGUUUAAGUUUGGUGUGAAAUCUCCCGGCUCAACUGGGAGGGUGCGCCGAAUACUGAAUGACUUGGAGUGCGGGAGAGGAGAGUGGAAUUCCUGGUGUAGCGGUGAAAUGCGUAGAGAUCCGGAGGAACACCGACGGCGCAGGCAGCGUCCUGGCCGCUUGCUGACACUGAGGCACGAAAGCUGGGGGAGCAAACAGG
rnacentral:rRNA from 1 species